UCUCAUGUAUGAAGGCGCUUUACUGAGUUUGGUUUAAGCACAAUUUUGCGCAGCUGCGAACUACUUCGCUUUUAAGAGAAAACGCUUAGAUUUUUUCUUGCAGCUCGGACAAACCAGCAAUGAAGACACUAAUUUUCGCAGUCGUCAUUCUUGGUGCAAUUGAUAUGGUACUCCUAACGCAAGCAAGUGACUGCCAUGAGCCGGCUAAUGGAUGUCCCAAGGUCGCGAAAGGCCAAGGUCAGGUACUUUGGUUUCAAUUGCAACAACAGCCGGUAUGUUACAAUCUCACGACAUCAGGCUGUCCAGGACAUGGAUUUUCAAGACUGGGUGAUUGUUAUAGCUGGUGUAUUAGCGGUGACUGAGAUGGCUAAAGAUUUC